rnacentral:rRNA from 1 species
AUACGUAGGGGGCAAGCGUUAUCCGGAUUUACUGGGUGUAAAGGGCGUGUAGGCGGAGAUGCAAGUCAGGAGUGAAAUCUAGGGGCUCAACCCCUAAACUGCUUUUGAAACUGUAUCCCUUGAGUAUCGGAGAGGCAGGUGGAAUUCCUAGUGUAGCGGUGAAAUGCGUAGAUAUUAGGAGGAACACCAGUGGCGAAGGCGGCCUGCUGGACGACAACUGACGCUGAGGCGCGAAAGCGUGGGGAGCAAACAGGAUUAGAUACCCUGGUAGUCCACGCUGUAAACGAUGAAUACUAGGUGUGGGGGGACUGACCCCCUCCGUGCCGCAGUUAACACAAUAAGUAUUCCACCUGGGGAGUACGAUCGCAAGAUUGAAACUCAAAGGAAUUGACGGGG